UCUGGGUAAAUGCUGCAUAAAAUUUAUGUAGAGGAAAGUCCAUGCUCGCACAAUCUGUGAUGAUUGUAGUGUUCGUGCUAAGGGAAUAAAUAACCUUAGGUAGAAAAAUUUCUAACGGCUCUUAAAUUUCCUUUAAUCUGGAAAAAGUAAGUUUAAAAGUGCCAAAGUGACGAAGAACUUGGAAACGAGGGAAGUGGAACGUGGUAAACCCCACGAGCGAGAAACCCAAAUUAUGGUAGGGGAACUCUUAAAAAGGAAUUAAGAACUAAAUUAAGAGACUUAUUUUAUAAGUAGAUAAAUAUUUACCGCUCUAAUUUAGAGUACAGAACAUGGCUUAUAA
rnacentral:RNase_P_RNA from 1 species